UACAGAGGUGGCAAGCGUUGUUCGGAAUUACUGGGCGUAAAGGGCGCGUAGGCGGCCAACUAAGUCAGACGUGAAAUCCCUCGGCUUAACCGGGGAACUGCGUCUGAUACUGGUUGGCUUGAAUCCGGGAGAGGGAUGUGGAAUUCCAGGUGUAGCGGUGAAAUGCGUAGAUAUCAGGAGGAACACCAAUGGCGAAGGCAGCUCGCUGGGACGUGACUGACGCUGAGACGCGAAAGCGUGGGGAGCAAACAGG
rnacentral:rRNA from 1 species